GACGAACGCUGGCGGCGUGCUUAACACAUGCAAGUCGAGCGGUAAGGCCCUUUCGGGGUACGACGAGCGGCGAACGGGUGAGUAACACGUGGGUGACCUGCCCUCAGCUCUGGGAUAAGCCUGGGAAACCGGGUCUAAUACUGGAUAUGACUCCAUGACGCAUGGUUGUGGGGUGGAAAGCCUUGUGCGGCUGAGGAUGGGCCCGCGGCCUAUCAGCUUGUUGGUGGGGUGAUGGCCUACCAAGGCGACGACGGUAGCCGGCCUGAGAGGGCGACCGGCCGACACUGGGACUGAGACACGGCCCACGA
rnacentral:rRNA from 1 species